UACGUAGGGUGCGAGCGUUAAUCGGAAUUACUGGGCGUAAAGCGUGCGCAGGCGGUUCGUUGUGUCGGUGGUGAAAUCCCCGGGCUUAACCUGGGAAUGGCCAUGGAAACUGGCGAACUGGAGUGUGGCAGAGGGGGGUGGAAUUCCGCGUGUAGCAGUGAAAUGCGUAGAUAUCAAGUGGAACACCAGUGGCGAAGGCGAAUCCCUGGAAAAUACCUGACACUGAGGCACGAAAGCUAGGGGAGCAAACAGG
rnacentral:rRNA from 1 species